CCUACGGGUGGCUGCAGUGGGGAAUAUUGGACAAUGGGCGCAAGCCUGAUCCAGCAAUGCCGCGUGUGUGAAGAAGGCCUGCGGGUUGUAAAGCACUUUAAGCCGGAAAGAAGGCUGCAAGGCUAAUAUCCUUGUAGAUUGACGUUACCGGCAGAAUAAGCACCGGCUAACUCCGUGCCAGCAGACGCGGUAAUACGGAGGGUGCGAGCGGUAAGCAGAGCUACUGGGGGUAAAGCGUGGGGUCCGGGGUGAAAGCCCUGGGCUUAACCUGGGAACUGCAGUGGAAACUGGCGGGCUAGAGUAUGGUAGAGGAGAGUGGAAUUUCCGGUGUAGCAGUGAAAUGCGUAGAGAUCGGAAGGAACACCAGUGGCGAAGGCGGCUCUCUGGACCAAUACUGACGCUGAGGUGCGAAAGCGUGGGGAGCAAACAGGAUUAGAUACCCGAGUAGUC
rnacentral:rRNA from 1 species